GCCCAUACCAUUAACGAGCAGCACAAUCACACUGCGCCCAGUCCUAGUGCUCACUCUCUUAACACCACCAAAGCCAUGGGCCAGGCUAGGGCUUACCUCCUAGCCUCCCUAGCGGCAUUCUACCUCGUCGCCCUGGCCACCCCCCAGGUCGCCGCCGACAUGACCGAUGAGGUCAAUCUCCUGUGGGGAAAGUGCAACGUUCUCCGCGACGGCGCCGGCCGACAGACUGUCGCGAUGAGUCUCGACCGCAGCACGACCUCCGGAUUCAGCUCGAAAAUCAAGUACCUCUUCGGGAGGAUUGACAUGGAAAUCAAGCUCGUGCCCGGGAACUCAGCCGGCACAGUGACAACAUUUUAUAUGAUGUCAGAGGGACCAUGGCAAUACCAUGAUGAGAUCGACCUUGAAUUCCUGGGGAACAGCACCGGCAACCCCUACACCCUGCACACCAACGUGUAUGCCAGAGGCGUAGGCAGCAGAGAGAAGGGGUACCGGCUUUGGUUUGAUCCCUCCCAGGACUUCCACACCUACAGCAUCAUUUGGACCCAACAAUACAUCCGAAUCCUUGUCGAUAACAAGCUGAUCCGGCAGAUCAAGAACCAGAUGAUGUAUGGUGCCCCCUAUCCAAACUAUCAACCAAUGAGGGUGUACAGCACCAUCUGGAAUGCGGAUGACUGGGCGACACAGGGUGGGCGGGUCAAGACCGACUGGUCACUAGCACCGUUCACAGCAUACUUCCGGAACUACAAGGCCUCCACCUGCUCUCCAAGCUCCAAGGCCUGCGGCCAGAGCUCCCCUGGUUCGUCCGGCCCGGAACUGGACCAGACGCAGCAACAGCAACUGAAGGAGGUGGCUGCCAACUCCAAGGUCUAUGAUUACUGCGAUGACUCAAAGAGGAGGAUUGGGUCCCCCAAGGAUUGUGAGUCACAGUAG
rnacentral:rRNA from 1 species